GUCGUCUAUAAUAUUUUUUAUUCUCGGAAAACAUAUUAACAUAUAAUUAACAUCAAUAGAAAGAACUACGUGUUAAAAUCCACUGCCUCAACAGUACAUCUUCGACGGUUUUUUUUUUGAAAAAUAAAAAAAAUAAAUAUUUUAGACGUGUACAAAGUAUAUUAAUAAUACUAUAAUUUUACCUAACCCGAACAGCAACAGGAAGAAAACAAUGAUGGAUUGCCCUGCUGCUAUUGUCAGUUCUCUUCAAUAAUAGAUUAAUUUCGAAUUUUCCAAAAGUCUUUGCUCGAAAAGGCGGUAUUUUCGAUGAAUUUUUAACGACUCUUAAGUUUUUUCUUCGCCCGAGUAUAAGGCGGCUAUAAUAAUAUUUUGUAUAGGUACAUUUUUUUUACUUUUUUUUUGUUCUCGCCUUUAUAUCCCGUUUGCUUCAUAACAACAACGAACGACGUAGUACCUAUCGAUUUUUAUUAGCCACUUCCUUUCAGACGGUUCUGUUUCAUUUUUUCGUCCGAGACAAACGUCAGCUUUAACGCGUGGCCGAGUGGGUAUGUACGAGUUUCAUCAAUCUUUUCUUUCUCGCAGCAUACGUCCAUCAUCCGCGUACACUUUUAUCUGUUCGACAGAAGUUUUCUUCUCGCAUGCACCAUCUCAUUAUUAUAUUAUUGAAUUCGCAGAAAAUAAUAUAAUAGAUAAUCACAAUGAUUCGUACAGAACAAUGUAUCGUUUUGAAUGUAACAAUAUUCGAAAUGUUACUAUAAUAGCGCGUAUACCACUGUAUAAUAAAAUAAUAAUUCGAGUAUUAAAUAUAAUGAAUUACGUAUUAGUAAUUUGUGAUGUAAAAUGUGGUAAAAGCCGAACCCAUUUUUAAGAUAAAAACGUAUUACCUAAUGGUAGAGAGGAGGGUCGAUUAUGUUUUAAGUAUUCUCAAGCGUAUAUUCAUUAAAAAAAAAUGUACGGCUACAUUACUCACGACGAAGCGGUAAAUGGAAUCGAUACAACGAAC